CCUANGGGAGGCAGCAGUGAGGAAUAUUGCACAAUGGGCGAAAGCCUGAUGCAGCAACGCCGCGUGAGGGACGAAGGCCUUCGGGUUGUAAACCUCUUUUCUGGGGGAAGAGACAAGGACGGUACCUCAGGAAUAAGUCUCGGCUAACUACGUGCCAGCAGCCGCGGUAAAACGUAGGAGGCGAGCGUUAUCCGGAUUUACUGGGCGUAAAGCGCGCGCAGGCGGCUUCGUUAGUCGGACGUGAAAGCUCCCAGCUUAACUGGGAGAGGUCGUUCGAUACUGCGAGGCUUGAGGUUGGGAGAGGGGUGUGGAAUUCCCGGUGUAGUGGUGGAAUGCGUAGAUAUCGGGAGGAACACCUGUGGCGAAAGCGGCACCCUGGCCCACACCUGACGCUGAGGUGCGAAAGCGUGGGGAGCAAACAGGAUUAGAUACCCCUNUANUC
rnacentral:rRNA from 1 species